rnacentral:lncRNA from 1 species
AUGUGUCGAUGUGGGAACUAUGGCAACAGAAUCCCCAUAGAUUCCCAACAGAACCCCAGUGGAACCCUAAUGGAAUGUGUGGGGGUGGGGGGCCAACAGCCCCGCAAAACAGUGACAAGAAGAGUUCCAACAACACCCAGGGACACAGAGAGCAAAGAGGGUGCCUCAGGCCUCUCCCAGCCAGCAGACCUUUUCCUGGUCCUUGUGGCGAGAAGCCUCCUGGAUAUUCCUGCCCGAAGAGCACUGUAUUCUCAGCCCACUCAGCCCACAAGACUUGUGCCAAAGAAAUCCAGGCUGCUCUUCCAGCUGAGGACAAAAAAUAGGUCUGAUUCCCCAGCCACAGUAAAUCACCAUAAUACCACCCAUCCCACCACCAAUGCUGCUGCAGAAAGGCGGAUUUACACCAUCUUGGAGACGUAGCUCCCUCCUCCCAUCUGUCCAGUAUAAACAUACAGACGUAUCUAAUCCUCCCUGCAGAGAGAAGGUAGAGAGAGAACAUUGAAAAGACAGCUGAUUCAAUUUAAUAAUAAACAACAAAAAACAAAGACCA